rfam:Gossypium arboreum cultivar AKA8401 contig_393746_1, whole genome shotgun sequence.
CACACCGCCCGUCACACUAUGGGAGCUGGCCAUGCCCGAAGUCAUUACCUUAACCGCAAGGAGGGGGAUGCCGACGGCAAGGCUAGUGACUGGAGUGAAGUCGUAACAAGGUAGCCGUACUGGAAGCUGCGGCUGGAUCACCUCCUUU